GGUGCUAUGGCGCAAUGGUAGCGUGUGGUCCUCCUAAAGGGAGCUCCCAGACUGAGGUUGUGGGUUCGAGUCCCACUAGCAUCG
rnacentral:tRNA from 2 species